rnacentral:rRNA from 1 species
CCCUUAGAUGUUCUGGGCCGCACGCGUGCUGCACUGAGUGGAUCAGCGGGUCAGGUUGCGCGAAAGUGUUUCCUAAUCUUUAAAUCCGCUCGUGAUGGGGAUUGACGGUUGCAAUUUUCCGUCAUGAACGAGGAAUACCUUGUAAGCGCGGGUCAUCAUCCCGCGCUGAAUACGUCCCUGCCCUUUGUACACACCGCCCGUCGCUCCUACCGAUUGAGUGGUCCGGUGAGGCUUUGGGAUCUGGGCGGAAAGAGCGUUUCGCUGUUUCUGCCCGGAAAACUCAGUCGAACCUUAUCAUUUAGAGGAAGGAGAAGUCGUAACA